rnacentral:rRNA from 1 species
UACGGGGGGGGCAAGCGUUGUUCGGAAUUACUGGGCGUAAAGGGCGCGUAGGCGGCCUGCUAAGUCACACGUGAAAUCCCUCGGCUCAACCGGGGAACUGCGUGUGAUACUGGCGGGCUUGAAUUCGGGAGAGGGAUGUGGAAUUCCAGGUGUAGCGGUGAAAUGCGUAGAUAUCUGGAGGAACACCGGUGGCGAAGGCGGCAUCCUGGACCGAGAUUGACGCUGAGGCGCGAAAGCUAGGGGAGCAACGGG